rnacentral:rRNA from 1 species
GUUACGGUAGCAUUGAUUUGCUUUGCCUGCUAUCUCUUACCCAUGUCUUUUGAGUACCUUACGUUUCCUCGGCGGGUCCGCCCGCCGAUUGGACAAUUUAAACCAUUUGCAGUUGCAAUCAGCGUCUGAAAAAACUUAAUAGUUACAACUUUCAACAACGGAUCUCUUGGUUCUGGCAUCGAUGAAGAACGCAGCGAAAUGCGAUAAGUAGUGUGAAUUGCAGAAUUCAGUGAAUCAUCGAAUCUUUGAACGCACAUUGCGCCCCUUGGUAUUCCAUGGGGCAUGCCUGUUCGAGCGUCAUUUGUACCUUCAAGCUCUGCUUGGUGUUGGGUGUUUGUCUCGCCUCUGCGUGUAGACUCGCCUCAAAACAAUUGGCAGCCGGCGUAUUGAUUUCGGAGCGCAGUACAUCUCGCGCUUUGCACUCAUAACGACGACGUCCAAAAGUACAUUUUUACACUCUUGACCUCGGAUCAGGUAGGGAUACCCGCUGAACUUAAGCAUAUCAAUAAGCUGAGGAGAA